rnacentral:rRNA from 1 species
CCUACGGGUGGCAGCAGUGAGGAAUAUUGGUCAAUGGACGUAAGCCUGAACCAGCCAAGUCGCGUGAGGGAUGAAGGUUCUAUGGGUCGUAAACCUCUUUUAUAAGGGAAUAAAGUGCGGUACGUAUACCGUUUUGUAUGUACCUUAUGAAUAAGGAUCGGCUAACUCCGUGCCAGCAGCCGCGGUAAUACGGAGGAUCCGAGCGUUAUCCGGAUUUAUUGGGUUUAAAGGGUGCGUAGGCGGCCUUUUAAGUCAGCGGUGAAAGUUUGUGGCUCAACCAUAGAAUUGCCGUUGAAACUGGGAGGCUUGAGUGUGUUUGAGGUAGGCGGAAUGCGUGGUGUAGCGGUGAAAUGCUUAGAUAUCACGCAGAACCCCGAUUGCGAAGGCAGCUUGCCAAGCUAUGACUGACGCUGAUGCACGAAAGCGUGGGGAUCAAACAGGAUUAGAUACCCGUGUAGUC